rnacentral:lncRNA from 1 species
ACAAUUUGUACAUAAUAUGAAUGGUUCCAACAGGAUUUAACUAGUGUAUAUGAACAGAACUAUAAAUGUGUGCUACCUUCAAAUUUCUCCGACGUCUUCUCCAUUUCAAUGCAAAAUAAUGUCUGAACCUCAGCCAGUGUGUAGAAUUCGUCCUAAAUUCCAUUAAAAGUAAACUGGUGAUACUCUGACUAAACCCCUGUCUUGCAUUCAUUUCCAACUGAUUAACUAAAACAUUAACUUCUUGAAAACGAAGUGCUACAGGCCUGUCUAAGAUCCAAACAAAUUCUAGGACUAAAUACUGAAUUCGAAACUCAAACAGUCACUUCAGGUUAACACAGCAACAAGGGUUAGCUGAAAACAGUGCAUUAAGGUUCAUCGAGAUGCAAUAAAUGAUCAAAGCUGAGAAAUGUGUCAUUUUAAAAUUGAAUAGAUUCCACUGUUGGUGGAAGACUUCUCAAAGACUUGGCGGAAGACUUUGACCUGGUGUGUAACUUCACAAAGACUUGGUGGAAGACUUUGACCUGGUAGCCUGGCAGAGUGGCAGUAUAUAUAGUAUAUAAUAUAUCAAUAUUGAUCCUAAGAAGAAACAGCAAGUUCAAUAAUCUGCACUAUGGACAUCUCCAGCUACCUGGCUAUAGGUGGCUGGUUCAUCCAGGUUAUCUUCGACAAGUAUCUUUCCUACAAGCUCCAGAGGUGGGCAGUCAACUGUGGCAUCGACCAUGAGCU